rnacentral:ncRNA from 2 species
CGAUGCCGCGCGAGAGAGACCCCGCCAACGGGGCGCCGACGGGGCAAUACUCCCCAGUAACCUCUCAGGCACCAGGACCGCGUGGAGUAG